rnacentral:miRNA from 1 species
AGGAUACCCAGUUGUAUUUAAAUUUCAAAUAAACAAAAACUUUUCAGUAUUGGUAUACCCCAUACCAUAUUUGGAACAUACUUAUACUAAAACAUUAUUCAUUACCUAUCUGAAAUUUGAAUUUACUGAAUGUUCUGUA